rnacentral:rRNA from 1 species
CGGACGGGUGAGUAAUGUCUGGGAAACUGCCUGAUGGAGGGGGAUAACUACUGGAAACGGUAGCUAAUACCGCAUAACGUCGCAAAGACCAAAGAGGGGGACCUUCGGGCCUCUUGCCAUCGGAUGUGCCCAGAUGGGAUUAGCUAGUAGGUGGGGUAACGGCUCACCUAGGCGACGAUCCCUAGCUGGUCUGAGAGGAUGACCAGCCACACUGGAACUGAGACACGGUCCAG